UACGAACAGACAAAGACAAUCAAGAUAUCUGAGACGAGCAUCCGUCCACUGGAAGAAGUUCAUUAACAUGUUCAAGCCUCAGUGAAGAAUAAAGUUCAAUAUGUUUCUGCUAUCAAGAUUGCCUGAAGAUCAAGUAUCAAAGACCAGAAGAUUCCAGUAUAUUUAAUUUGAUUAUUUAUAAUUAAAUUUAUCGAAGCAACAUCUAACCCGGAAUGACUGAUCAAGUAUUUUAUCAAGCAAAGAAUUCAAGGGAUUAUUUCAGUUCGAGUCGUUCGUGAACCAGACCAGUGCACAGGACGUCAGGACGUACGAAAG
rnacentral:lncRNA from 1 species